AGUGAACGCUGGCGGUAGGCCUAACACAUGCAAGUCGAGCGGCAGCACAGUAAGAGCUUGCUCUUACGGGUGGCGAGUGGCGGACGGGUGAGGAAUACAUCGGAAUCUACUUUUUCGUGGGGGAUAACGUAGGGAAACUUACGCUAAUACCGCAUACGACCUACGGGUGAAAGCAGGGGAUCUUCGGACCUUGCGCGAUUGAAUGAGCCGAUGUCGGAUUAGCUAGUUGGCGGGGUAAAGGCCCACCAAGGCGACGAUCCGUAGCUGGUCUGGGAGGAUGAUCAGCCACACUGGAACUGAGACACGGUCCAGACUCCUACGGGAGGCAGCAGUGGGGAAUAUUGGACAAUGGGCGCAAGCCUGAUCCAGCCAUACCGCGUGGGUGAAGAAGGCCUUCGGGUUGUAAAGCCCUUUUGUUGGGAAAGAAAAGCAGCAGGUUAAUACCCCGCUGUUCUGACGGUACCCAAAGAAUAAGCACCGGCUAACUUCGUG
rnacentral:rRNA from 1 species